rnacentral:rRNA from 1 species
UACGAAGGGGGCUAGCGUUGCUCGGAAUGACUGGGCGUAAAGGGCGCGUAGGCGGUUUGGUUAGUUAGGCGUGAAAUUCCUGGGCUCAACCUGGGGAUUGCGCUUAAUACAGCCAGGCUAGAGUGUGGAAGAGGGUCGUGGAAUUCCCAGUGUAGAGGUGAAAUUCGUAGAUAUUGGGAAGAACACCGGUGGCGAAGGCGGCGACCUGGUCCAGUACUGACGCUGAGGCGCGAAAGCUUGUGGAGCAAACAGG